AGGCACCGGAGGAGGGAUGCGGGGGGACCCCGGGCUGCCAGAGCCCUGGCACAGUGGCAGCUUCCCGGUGUGGCCCCCGAUGCGGCUUCCCAGUGGCCUUCGGUGUGGCUCCGCGCUGGCCCCGGUGUGGCUCCUCACUGGCCCACAGUGCAGGCUCUAUGCUGGCUCUGGUGCGGCUGCCUAGUGGCCUCGGUGGAGGUCCCCAGCCUGGCUCCGCAGUGGCUCUGCUGUGGAGCACACACAGGCUCCGCUGCAGCACUAACAGGGGCCCCACUGCGGCCACAGAGUGGCUCCCGGUGCUCUGUACCUCACAUAAGCACCGUUCUGCCCGGAGCAUCCACAGUCCUGGGAUGGAUCCCCGAGGGACGGGUGUUCUGGCAUAGCCGGUGCCCAGAUCCUCAACAUUGCCUGGCUCUGCUCUGGCAUUAACCACCAUUCGUGGUCAUGGUUUGCUCCAGUCACGGCCACUCUACCGGGAGGAAACACCGGUUUAGCACCGAGUGUCAUUAAACCGGAGAUGUCAAGAGCGCGGUGUGCUGCGGACGCUGAGCUGGGGAGAAAGGCUGCAGCAGAUCCGGGCCCACCAUCAGGGCCAGGAUGUGACCCCUGCAAAGUUCUGAGCUGCAAAUAACUCCGGCGUUCUAGUUGGGCUCAGAAUGAGCAUCAGGGUGGCCGGCACUUGGUGAGCGACCCCAUCUUUGGGCUGGUUUUGGGGUGUAUAUAGGGCAGAAAUGUGUAUUUAGGGGCUCACCUGCCAGCCUGGAUCCACAAGCGAGCAUUUCCAGUGGUAUUGGCUAAAUCAGGGAGGGUGCUGCGAAGAUGGCAUGGGAACCCACAGCCGGCUGGAAAGGGGGCACCCCACUUUCUUCCCACCUGAAGGGGCCUGGCUGCUUUGAGCUUCAUCUAGUGGUGCUGAGAUGCCUCGGGAAGGGAAAGGGCAGCGCUGCUGCUACGGCAGAAGCCGGCUCCGAGCUGCCUUGCUCUCGUUUGGGCGGCCUAGAUUCAUCCUCCCCCGUGCACAGCACCUCCUCUCCCGGCAGCUCCUGGCACCGGCGCUGCCGGGUCCCGGCUGACGUCAGCUUGAGCCACUCGUGGCUGUGGAGUGGGGCCCUGGAGCUGCCAGUGUGGGGCAAGGGGCAGUUCUUGCUGCCCCUGGUCCUCCCCAUCGGAUGCAGCGUGCGCGGAUGCAGUGUGUGCAUCAUCCCUGGCUCUGCCUCAGUUUCCCCAUCCGAUCAUCAGGAUCCACCAGCGAGUGUCUGCUCGGGACUACUGAUGUGGAGAUGGGGAAUACACAUGGCUCUUGAGAAAUCCCACUGUCCUGGAACAAAGGAAAGGCCAAUUUGGGGCACCCUGCAUGAGGGAUGGGCUCUGUGUCCCAGAUGCUGCUUAGGUGCAGGGGUGUUGGAGGGCCUUCACCCAUGAGCAUCCCAGAUUUUAUCGUGUCCUUGUCACCUUGGGCACCUACUUCAAAUGUUUUGGGUUUUCCCCCCUCUUCUUUGUGCUGGGAAGUGAUUUUGGUGCAAUAGAGAAACGUUGGUUUUCCAAGUAGGGAGUAAAGUGUUGGAGGGGCCGGGAACAAUGCUCCCCCGGCAGCGCUGGCAUCUGCUUUGUUCACCGAGUCAAAAGCAGCAUCAAGCCAAGAUUGCUCUAAUUUGAAUAUUAAAAGUUGGUGCAGCUUAUCCGUGUGAAAACUUGGCUGCGGGUGAGCUGCUGUCGGGAGCCGACCUGGGUUUGUGGGGAGGG